rnacentral:rRNA from 1 species
UGAAUGGCAAAACGAAAGCUCAACUGUCUCCACAGGUUAAUCAAUGAAAUUGAUCUUUCCGUGCAGAAGCGGAAAUAUUUUUAUAAGACAAAAAGACCCUAUGGAGCUUCAAAUUUAAAUUAAUUAUAUAUGCUAAAAAUACAAUACAUAAUUUAAUGUAAGAUUUUAGGUUGGGGCGACCACGGAGUAAACUACAACCUCCGAGAUAAAUAAUUAAGAAAAACACUUCAAGAUAAUAAGACAAUUAAUAUACUUGAUCCAAUAUUUGAUCAACGAACCAAGUUACCCUAGGGAUAACAGCGCAAUCCUCUUAAAGAGUUCAUAUCGACAAGAGGGUUUACGACCUCGAUGUUGGAUCAGGGCCCCCUAAUGGUGCAGCAACUAUUAAAGGUUCGUUUGUUCAACGAUUAAAGCCCUACGUGAUCUGAGUU